rnacentral:lncRNA from 1 species
UUAAUUCCAGAUCAAACAAGAGUGAAGCAAUCAGUAGCGUCCAGGGGCAACAAUUGCAAAAAAGAGCGAAAACCGAUUCAAAUUCGAAACCAAGAGAAGUGAGAUCCCAGGGAUCGGUGCUGCGACAGUCGCGUGAUUCCGAUUCUUAGAAUUGUAGAGUCAAUUGCGACAUAGCUACCUGCGCUGCGAGAAUCGGCUUCGGCUGGAUCUCGACAAAAGGGGCCGCAGCGGAAUCACACUGAUUCUGAGUUUUACACAGUUCUAGCAGAGCUAAUUUCUGCUCAAUUGUGAAGCUCCCACCUGGUACCUGCGAAUAAUUCUCAAGCAGGUAGAUCCCACAUUGUAUAGCUUAGCAAAAUUGGGUCAACACGAGGCAACAGAUCUAAAUUCACUAGUAGCUUGUACAAGGCAAGAGAAGAAUUAGUUACUGUCCAGGGAUGGUAGGCAAAAUGGCUAUUGGAACAAAGUGGCAGCAACAAACUACUAGUUAUAACCAAAGCUUUGAAGGAACGUUGCAAAUUGCUAGGGAUUUCAAUCAGAAUUUAGAUAUUUUGGCGCAAAGGAUUGAAACCCUGCGGAAGGAAGAGGCAAGGAGGUACGAAAUUAUGAUGGAGGAGGAGGCCCGAAGGCAUGAACAACUCCUAGAGUUGAUUAGAAGCCGAUUUGUACAUGCUAAAGGGAAAGGGACAGUAGUGCAAGUUCCGAUAGAAAAGAAACAUCGGCAACAGUACAUGCCAUACAUGGAGAUAAGUUUCCCAGAUUUUAACGGAACAGAUCCAAAAGGAUGGUUACGAAAUUGCGAGCAGUAUUUUGACCGAUACCAAGUUCCUGAGCAACAAUGGAUAGGCAUAGCGUCCAUGCACAUAGAGGGUGAUGCACGGUUUUGGAAGCAAGCAUAUUUCUUUAACCGACCAGAGGUAAAUUGGGGCGAGUUUUCCGAUGCCAUUUGUAAAAGAUUUACAGCGACGAAAGAGAGGUACCCAACCCAAGAGUUUAGUACUUGCAAGCAAACCAAUUCUAUAGAGAGCUGCCAAAAGAAUUGUGAAGCCGCAAAGAGAUCUGAAACUAUGGUGCAGGAGGAUGAUCACAUACAUGAAGCUGGAAGUGCAGGAUCAGAGAAAGAGUGUGAUGAUUAUCUACAGUUGGAGAUCAAUAGAAAACCAGAGAUAGCAUGGAGCGAGCGUGCUAGCAAGCCAGAGGAGCUGCUGAAGCUGCUCGCAGCACAGCCACCUCUACUCAAGCCUGCUCACAAUGCCCCAAAUGCAUACACUACUUCAGCUGAAACUGAAAGUACCAUAAAAGCUGUUGCCAAUACGACUCACAAUUCCGAAGAGAGUCUUAAUCUUAAUCUUGAAGAAGGGCCUGCACCAAGUGAGCAAACAAAGAUGCAAGGGCUGUGCAAUGAAUACGGAGAGGAGUACAGCACGGGGAAGCAAUGCAAGAAUAGCUCCCUGCAUAUGUUAACGGCACAGAAAAAGGCUGAAAUGAGUGCUGGAUCCGAAGCAGCAAAAGAAGAAGGAUGGGAGCCACAACAAGUAGAAGAAGGAAAUGCUUACGACGCUGUAAGUAUCAAGGAGUCAAAUAACCAAGCCCUUCUAAGUUUGGUUGAUGAUAGAAGCAUACAUAGCCUUAUUCACUUCGGAACGGCAAAAGCUACCAAAGUGGGAUCUACUACUUUUGCACCCUUGAUAGUGAUAGCAGACCGGGAUCCCAAGAUGCUAAGCAAAGAUUCUUGUCCUCAGUUUGCAAGGAAGAAACCAGGUUACAAAUUCUUGGCUGAUUCAAGAGAAUUGAGACUCAAAAGUUCUGACAUAGCGCUUAGAAUCGAUUGGAUGAAGGAAUAUAGGCAAGUGCCUUUUGAUCCAGGACCUAACAAGGUGACAUUUCGCAGCAUUGAAGGAGAAGCCUCUCACAAAUUUAUCAUGACAAGUAAGUUACAAAAGGUAAUCCAUCAGAAAAUACGAGGUAUGCUGGGUCAAUCUGCUAUGAUUAGAAUUGGAGAAAUGGCGAAGGCGAUUACUACAGAAGGUUGCAAGAGAGUUAAUAGCAUAGGCUUAAUUGGUAUUGUUGAGGGCCUCAAUAAGCACAUCCAAAGAAGGCCAAUUGAAGCGUAUCAAGAGAGCAUUGAGAACUCAAGGAUCCAAACGCUACUUCGAAACUCUAGCCUGGAAGAAGCUUACAUUGCGUACAGCUUGGUGAAUGGGUGUAAGGAAUUAGGGUCUGUGCUUAAGAUGCCUCACCCAUGCUCGCGAUUUCUGGCCUAUGAACAAGACAAGCUGCAGGAAUCUGAUGUAAGUGAUUGCAACUUCCAUAAUGCUAACUAUGUUCAUAGUGUGAUGGUUAUAGGCAACAGCUUUCUAAGCCUGGUCGAAGGUCAAGUUCACCCUGAAAAUGGAGAAGAUCAGGAUGUAAGAGAAUUAGAAGAUGAAACUAGCUGUUCCCUCAUCAUAGCUAGGAUGGUUAUGAAGAGGUUUGCCGAUAAAAAGUGGUGUGAUGGUCUCUAUAGGCAAAAGAUUUCGAAGGAUUGUUCCGCACUUAAGAAGAAGACCAAUGGGGAGCAGAAUGAAAUCAGUCGUGAAGACCAUAUAGAGAUCAAGACUAUGGAAAAAAUCUCAGAGCUCACAUUAAGUCAGUUUGCACUUUACCACAUCUCGGAGCAGACAAGACUGGCGGCGUGCAGGUUGCGACUGCCUGAAGGUCCCGAGGGUGAGCCCUCGCCCCAACAGGUACCGCCGUCCAUGCUGCCAACCAGAGAUGAUAGGCGAGUGUGGACACGAAUUGGAAACACCUCACACCAGCACAAGGUGACGCAAGAAAACAGAACAGAGGUUUCAAUAUGGCUUAAAGGAAACAAUUCUGAAGAAGAAGAAUGUGCCGCGAGUGAAGCAAAUGAGAGCCCCAAACCAGUUCAACAAGUUCCAUCCUUGAGGACAAGGAUGAUUUUAAGGGGAGGGGAUUGUAACGACCCUGGAGAAUAAAUGGUAGAGGUAGCAGUAGCAGUAGUAAUAGUUAGCAUGGGAGAAUAGUAAAAAUAGCAACUUUACUAGUUAAAAUGGAGAAUAAAAGUGGCAGCAGCAGAAUGGUGAAGGAGCGAGCUCAGUGGGGUGAACCGGCGGCAAGGGCGUUCAGGCGGAACUCAGGCGGGCGACGAGGAAGGGUGGCGCUGCGGCCGCGGCAGCCUUCCCAGCGACUGUCUCCCUCAAGAAAGCGAAGGCGCCGGCCGCGCUCUGGAACCCGCCGCAGGCCUGCUUGAGCCUUGCGGCGAUGGUGCGAUCGGCGGCGUGGGCGAUCUGCGAGUAGACGGCGGCAGUGGGGGAAAUGGGAGGAACGCGAAGGGAGAAGGAGGUCCGACAGCAUCUACGGUUGGGGAAGAUGGAAGCCUUGCGGGUCGGAUGGGCAGAUUUCCGGAUCGGAGGCAAAACGCGAACCCAAGACCCGCCGGCAAUGGAUAGUGCGGAGAAGGCGAACCCGCAACCCGCUUGCCCGUUUACCAGACAACUUCGGACCGAACAAGCCCAGCGGAGGCCCAGCCUGCGAGUGAAUCGCGGCCCAGCCUGCUCUCACCCAGUUUACAUAUUGCUGUUUAGCCCUUAUAGGAUAGUUUACUUUAAUUUCAAUACCAGUUGUAGAGGAAUAUAUCUAACAGAAUGUCAUGAGAAGAUCAUAAAUGAAAAUGAAAUAGUCUAUUUCUCCCCCAAAGGUUCUUCUCCAAACCCUUCUUCUUCUCUAUCCCUUAUCUCUAUCCCAACUCUUUUCCCUAACCCUCACCUCUCAAUCCUCAUCUGUCUAUCUCUCUACCUCUAUUUCUCUUCUCUCUAUCUCAAUCCCAAUUUCUAUCUCUAUUUUCUUACCUCUCUAGCCUCGGUUACCGACUACGUUACCUCCGAUACGCGACCGGAAGGACCAAGAACCUGAUCCGAGCCAUAAGGGAUAUUACAAUUGGUAUCAGAGCGGCACUGUCCCAGGGCCGUGGGCGGCGGGAAUUCAACAGGAGCAAGAACGUUGGAGUUUCAGCAGCUGUGAGGAAUUACGUCGAACAAUGGAGGCGCAACAGGUAACAUCAUCCAAUUAGCAUAAUUAAGCAACAGAAGGCUCACACGAGGGUGUACGGAGGUAGUAGCAAGGACUAGUGCUGGUUCUAUUGCAAUUAGAACAGCACCAGGCCUCAGGCAAGCAUCUUUGGCACCUCGGCCGAAUUACUGUAGCAGGUGUUAAUUCCAGAUCAAACAAGAGUGAAGCAAUCAGUAGCGUCCAGGGGCAACAAUUGCAAAAAAGAGCGAAAACCGAUUCAAAUUCGAAACCAAGAGAAGUGAGAUCCCAGGGAUCGGUGCUGCGACAGUCGCGUGAUUCCGAUUCUUAGAAUUGUAGAGUCAAUUGCGACAUAGCUACCUGCGCUGCGAGAAUCGGCUUCGGCUGGAUCUCGACAAAAGGGGCCGCAGCGGAAUCACACUGAUUCUGAGUUUUACACAGUUCUAGCAGAGCUAAUUUCUGCUCAAUUGUGAAGCUCCCACCUGGUACCUGCGAAUAAUUCUCAAGCAGGUAGAUCCCACAUUGUAUAGCUUAGCAAAAUUGGGUCAACAUGAGGCAACAGAUCUAAAUUCACUAGUAGCUUGUACAAGGCAAGAGAAGAAUUAGUUACUGUCCAGGGAUGGUAGGCAAAAUGGCUAUUGGAACAAAGUGGCAGCAACAAACUACUAGUUAUAACCAAAGCUUUGAAGGAACGUUGCACAUUGCUAGGGAUUUCAAUCAGAAUUUAGAUAUUUUGGCGCAAAGGAUUGAAACCCUGCGGAAGGAAGAGGCAAGGAGGUACGAAAUUAUGAUGGAGGAGGAGGCCCGCAGGCAUGAACAACUCCUAGAGUUGAUUAGAAGUCGAUUUGUACAUGCUAAAGGGAAAGGGACAGUAGUGCAAGUUCCGAUAGAAAAGAAACAUCGGCAACAGUACAUGCCAUACAUGGAGAUAAGUUUCCCAGAUUUUAACGGAACAGAUCCAAAAGGAUGGUUACGAAAUUGCGAGCAGUAUUUUGACCGAUACCAAGUUCCUGAGCAACAAUGGAUAGGCAUAGCGUCCAUGCACAUAGAGGGUGAUGCACGGUUUUGGAAGCAAGCAUAUUUCUUUAACCGACCAGAGGUAAAUUGGGGCGAGUUUUCCGAUGCCAUUUGUAAAAGAUUUACAGCGACGAAAGAGAGGUACCCAACCCAAGAGUCUAGUGCUUGCAAGCAAACCGGUUCUUACCAAGAGAAUUGUGAAGCCAUUAAGAUGCACAAAAGCAUGAUGCAGGAGGAUGGCCGCAAGCAUGAACAACUCCUAAAUUCACCCAGGAGCCGACCUAUGCAUGAUGAAAAAAAUGAGAUAAAAGUGCAAGGUACUGAAGAGGAGUUUGGCACAAUACCUGCAUGCAAGGCUGCAGAAAGGGGAAUUAGUUCACUAACUAGUUCGGAAAACAACUCUAAGACUGAAGUAAAAAAAUUGGAGCAAAAACAGUAUCAAAAUCUGAAGAUGAAAGUAUACACAAGGUGUGACGAGGAGCUGAGAAACAGAUUUGGCAAACCGGAGGAGUUGCCGAGGUUGCAUGCAACUCAACCAUCUCUUAGUAAGCUUAUUUCAGCUAUCGCAACACCCCACUCAGAGAACAAAGGCUCAAAGGAAAACAACUUCGAAGAAAACAUCAUUCCAUCCCCUAGAAGAGCAAACAAAGAUCAAUUUCAUCAUCAGCAUCAACAGCAUAAGCUCUGGAAGCGAUCUAUAAGGCGUGGAACCGAUCAUCAUUGUCGCCAUCCAGUUCUCAGAUCGAAUUCACCAUUGAAGGUUGCGACUCAGUUCGGGACCAAAUCGGGCCUAGAUCGACCCUUGGUAACACCUCAAUCAUCAUCGCAGCCAACCAAAUCUCCGAGAUUACAAUCGGCGAUGGAUGCUACUCAGAUUGGGUUAUUACAAGCUGGAAAAGCAAAGGCAGAAAAGCGAGAUAUUGAUAACUGCAAAAAUAAACCCCCUUGGAAGAAAAUUACUGCAGAGAGGUCACUAGGGGUGAGGAGCAGGGGCUUAACUGAUGAAAAGCCAGAGAAAGCUUAUCAAGCAAGAUCUGAGGACUUCAGGGCCCACAAGUUAAUCCAAAUCUCUAACCUGGCAGAAGCCAGCAUGGUGCGCAGCGUUGCGAAUGGAUAUAAGGAGCUUAGUUCUAUGCUUGGAAGGCCUCAUCCUUGUUCACUGGCUUUGGCUUAUGAACAAACCAAACAGAAAGAAUCCAAUAAAGAAUGGGAAAUUACACUACUUGCAGAAGGCAAAUGCAGGGCAAUUACCAUUUUUACACCAAAAUGGAAACAGGAAGUGCAGGAUGGUGAUGAGGCAGGCUCCCAAGUCAAGCAAGUUACCACAGAGCUAAUAGUGUAUGCAAUCUCUAAACCCAAUUGUAACACCAAGCCUACCAACACAGCUCCAAGGAUAAAUCUGAAGCUUAUCUCAAAGUAUUAUGGGCCACUGAAGGUAUUAGAGAGGAUGGACAUGCAGUACAAGGAGCUAGGGACUGUGCUUAAGAGGCCUCACCCAUGCUCGCGAUUUCUGGCCUAUGAACAAGACAAGCUACAGGAAUCUAAUAGAAACUUGGGUGUUACCUUGCACAUAAAAGGGGGAUGCAAAGCACUUACCAUGAAUAUGUGCAGAUGGAUGCAAGCUGUGCAAAAUAGAAGUGAAGAAGACCAUCUGCUAAUUGAAUUUCAUCCUUCUAGGGCGUGGCAAGUUGAUCAGGGUAUUGAACAGUUCACUCGAUGGUCAGGAAUUGAAAGGGAUAUGCAUCAGUUAGUGCAAGAUUGUGAAGUUUGCUUAAGAUCUAAGGAAGAAAAUAGGCCCAAACAUUGCUACAAGAAGCUGAAGCUUGAAGAAUGGUGGUCCUACACUAGAUUCUACAUCUCAUCAGGAAGGGGAAUUUUACAAGGUCCGGUGGCACGCGGGUUGUCACUGCCUGAAGGUCCCAAGGGUGAGCCCCCGCCCCAGCAGGAGCCGCCGUCCAUGUUGCCAACCCGAGAUGUUAGGAGAGUGUGGACACAGUUGGAAACACCUCACGCCGGCGCGAAGCAGGGCAAGAAAACAGAACAGAUAUUAGAAGAUGGCUUAAAAAGAAGCAAUUUUGAAAAAGAAGAAUGUGCCGCGAGUGAAGCAAAUGGGAGCCCCAAACCAGUUCAACAAAGUUCCAUCCUUGAGGACAAGGAUGAUUUUAAGGGGAGGGGAUUGUAACAACCCUGAAGAAUAAAGGGUAGAAGUCGUAGUAGUAUUAAUAGUUAGAUGUAGAAGAUGAGUAAAGGUAGCAGCUUUAC